rnacentral:lncRNA from 1 species
CUGACCUCAAGAGAUGUGCCUGCCUUGGCCUCCCAAAGUGCUGGGAUUACAGGCGUGAGCCACCACACCCAGCUGAGGCAUUGUAUUUCAAAAGGCCCUUGAACAAGAAACAACACACUGUGUUGAAAGAAGGGAAGACCAAUAUGGCUACAGAACAAACAAGAACUCAGACAUAGGUGUGGAGGUGGGCACCAUCCCCACAUUUUCACUCUAUUCUCUAUCUAGCCACCCACAAUAGAUCUGAGAUUGCCAUUUUUCAAAAGUAUCAUGGGAAAAACAAAAGAAGAAACAGUGUUUUAGUACCUCAUGAAAAAAAAAAAGUAAAAUAUUAACUUCUGAGUGCCCAACUUCCCUCAACUGAUUGAAGGCCAAGGCACCACAGUGAAAGCAAAGUGGAGAUUUGCCCACUAAUUAUCUAAGUAAUUACCUUAAAUGUCUGCUUUGCUUUGGCUGUGGAGAUAUAGUCACAACCAUGAAGACCCUACUGAAACAAGAAGAUAUGAAGUUCAUAAAAUGCUCUCCGUCUUCAAUGAAGAAAGGUACAUGAACGCCACCUAAAAAUGCAAACUGUGAUCUUUUGUGACAAGACUAAAGAAAAGCUUUUUGAACGACAAUGAGAAUAACUAUUUCCAUAUUUUCAUAUAGUGAAGUUUCAUUGCAUAGUAAUCCAUAUUAAAUGAUAUUUGAGACAUAUAUACUUUGAGAAUCACAGGCUACGUUGGCUGUUGGCAGUUUAAAAUAUGUAUGUUAGAAUUAUCUCUCUUCUGGGGUUUUAGUCUCCUGUUCCAGAAUAAAAAAUACCUGUAAGGAAAUAUUUUUUGCUGAAGAUGACAGAUAUCAAGUCUGUGUCUCAAUUCUACAAGAGAAACAUAUCAGACUCCAGAGAAUGUGUAAUAAAGUCCUAGAGAAAAUUGUUAAGUAAAUGAAACGUUUAAUUUCAGUGUAAAACUUUCUACUUUGGGGGAAUAUCCUACUAUAUUGUUCUGAGUUCCCUCUCACCUCACGUGUGUUGGCCCCUUGCUUCCUGUCUAGGCCCUACCACUGUAUUAUGAAAGUAAUGGCCCUACCAUUGCUAUUUAUUUAUUUGUUUAUUUAAACUUUAUGUAAGUUCCAGGGUAGCUGUGCAGAAAGUGCAGGUUUGUUACAUAGGUAUACGUGUGCCAUGGUAUUUUGCUGCACCUAUCAAGCUGUCACCUAGGUUUUAAGCCCUGCAUGCAUUAGCUAUUUGUUCUGAUGCUCUUCCUCACCUCACCUCCCCUACUCCCACAGGCCCCAGUGUGUGUUGUUCCCCUGCCCUUGUCCAUAUGUUUUCAUUGUUCAACUCCUACUUAUGAGUGAGAACAUGCGGUGUUUGGUGUUCUGUUCCUGUGUUAGUUUGCUGAGGAUGAUGGCUUCCAGUUUCAUCCAUGUCCCUGCAAAGGAUAUGACCACAUUCCUUUUUUCUGGCUGCAUAAUAUUCCAUGCCUACCAUUCAUUUCAAUGGCAAAAACCGCAAUUACUUUUGCACCAACCUAAUAUUUACCCUCAGAAAGUUACAUGACACAGGAGACACUCUUUUCUACUCUACCACUUUCUUCAGUUGUAAUUAAAAAUGUAAUUUAUGUAGCAUCUUAAGCUCACAAUUAGAGAGAUUAACUCAAAAUUAGAGAUUCCAAACUCACAAGGAGACAGUUUAUCUGAAAGGUAAUUUGUUGAAAGGCU